UCUUAUGGAUGGGCAAAGGAAGUGUUUUCUUAAGAUGGAAUUUACUCCUGGUGAAGAUGCUGUGAA
rnacentral:pre_miRNA from 1 species